UACGUAGGGUGCGAGCGUUAAUCGGAAUUACUGGGCGUAAAGCGUGCGCAGGCGGUUCGUUGUGUCGGCGGUGAGAGCCCCGGGCUCAACCUGGGAAUGGCCGUUGAAACUGGCGAACUGGAGUGUGGCAGAGGGGGGUGGAAUUCCGCGUGUAGCAGUGAAAUGCGUAGAGAUGUGGAGGAACACCGAUGGCGAAGGCAGCCCCCUGGGUCAAGACUGACGCUCAUGCACGAAAGCGUGGGGAGCAAACAGG
rnacentral:rRNA from 1 species